GCAGGGGUAGCCAAGUCUGGUCAAAGGCGACAGAUCAUUGAGCACUGAUCAAUGAUGUCGAAGCUCAAGACCUGUUGGCUUAGUGCCUUCGUGGGUUCAAAUCCCACCCCCUGCA
rnacentral:tRNA from 1 species